AAGGCCAACAGGCCGUGGAACCCCCAGAUAGAACCACUCACCUGGGGGAGCCAGUCAGCCAGCCAUUUGCAGCUAAAAGGCUUUCCCUGUGACCACUUGCAAGCACAACUCGACCAUCCUGUUCCUGCUGCCAACUGUUCAGACUUUGUUAAAUUAACACACGUUGAGUAGAGAGAGCACAGUGUGCCUGGAUGGUGAGCUGGUUCAACAGACCACAGGAGAAACUGAAAUAGAGAAGUUUCUCAAUCACAGGCCUGGAGGAGAUUCACAGCACGCCUGGAGGGGCCCCACGGGAAGUCAAGGCGGAGUGCAGACCACAGAGAAUACCAUAGACGGGCUGGCUUAUAAACAGGAGAAAUUUCUCUCAGUUCUGGAGGCUGGGGAGUCCAAGGUCAAGACACCAGCAGACUCAUGUCUGAUGUGGAUUCAUUCUCCCCAAAGCUGCUGUGUUCUCACUUAUCCAAAAUCCCAACUAGUCAGCUGUAUACCAAAAAAUACACGCAGAUGUAAGGAACUUAGAAGUUGCCAUUCUAUCAACACAACGAACUAGAAAUUGAAUGUACUGAACAAUCAACAACUCUUCUUAGAACCAUCAGAGAAGUGAGGUCACAGGGCAAGUCGCUGCACCCCACAUUGGAGACAAACAGGCAGAUUCAGAGAAUCACAACUUACCAGAGCAGAAACAUCCACGUGGACUAAUUUGGG